rnacentral:rRNA from 1 species
UACGGAGGGGACUAGCGUUGUUCGGAAUUACUGGGCGUAAAGCGCACGUAGGCGGAUUUGUAAGUCAGUGGUGAAAUCUCCGGGCUUAACUCGGAAACUGCCAUUGAUACUAUCUGUCUUGAAUACCGUGGAGGUCAGCGGAAUAUGUCAUGUAGCGGUGAAAUGCUUAGAUAUGACAUAGAACACCCAUUGCGAAGGCAGCUCACUACGGGAAUAUUGACGCUGAGGCACGAAAGCGUGGGGAUCAAACAGG